UACGGAGGAUGCGAGCGUUAUCCGGAUUUACUGGGUUUAAAGGGUGCGCAGGCGGGCUGUUAAGCCGGCGGUAAAAAUUCAGGGCUCAACCCUGGAACUGCAUUUGAAACUGUAGUUCUUGAGUGAUGGAGAGGCAGGCGGAAUUCCGUGUGUAGCGGUGAAAUGCGUAGAUAUACGGAGGAACACCAGUGGCGAAGGCGGCCUGCUGGACAUUAACUGACGCUGAGGCGCGAAAGCGUGGGGAGCAAACAGG
rnacentral:rRNA from 1 species